UGCAAUUUAAAUAAAAAUAAAAAUAAAAUGAGCACGGAGCACAUCCAUGUUGAAGAGUUUUGAGCGGAGAAACGAAAUAAGGACAAUUUGAAUAAAAAGGCACAAACUCUUAUGGACCUACUUGCUUUAGAUCAAUGCUUCAAGCUUUCAACUCUCAACUCGGGUUGAUUUACAGGGUAUAUUGCGUCACUCCACACCACACGUUUUUGGGUCUUAACUCCA
rnacentral:lncRNA from 1 species